GGCUUCGUGGUCGAGUGGUAAGGACACUUGCCUCUUACCCAGGAGUUCCGAGUUCGAUCCACAGCCGAGGAGCUA